CCGGUGUUUGGAGCAGAAAUACAUAUGAUAGUUUGGAUAUUUAAACUUAUCUAUAAAUCCUAUUAUUAAAACACAAGCAAACUUUAACACCAUACAGCAAGGCAUUUUCAAAUUCACUCUGAACAAUAAUGAAACAAACCAAGCUCAAUGCGAAUGCGAACUAGAAGUUUGAUUUACAACACGAAUUGGCUCUAUAGACAGCAUAAUUUUAAGCAAAAAUUCAGAGUCGAAGUAUUACCCAAUAAGUGCAAUGUUGGCCGGAAUUAAACUUGUUGGUAGUAAU
rnacentral:lncRNA from 1 species